UACGUAGGGGGCAAGCGUUGUCCGGAAUCAUUGGGCGUAAAGAGCGUGUAGGCGGCCAGAUAAGUCCGCUGUGAAAUCUCGAGGCUCAACUUCGAGCUGUCGGUGGAAACUGUCUGGCUAGAGUCCGGAAGAGGAGAAUGGAAUUCCUGGUGUAGCGGUGAAAUGCGCAGAUAUCAGGAAGAACACCCGUGGCAAGGCGGUUCUCUGGGACGGUACUGACGCUGAGACGCGAAAGCGUGGGGAGCGAACAGG
rnacentral:rRNA from 1 species